rnacentral:misc_RNA from 1 species
AACUUUCAACAAUGGAUCUCUUGGCUCUAGCAUCGAUGAAGAACGCAGCGAAACGCGAUAGCUAGUGUGAAUCGCAGAAUUCAGUGAAUCAUCGAGUCUUUGAACGCACAUUGCGCCUGCUGGUAUCCCAGCAGGCAUGCCCGUUCGAGCGUCAUUUCAAACCUCAGGCCCUGCCUGGUAUUGGAGUUUUCUACCGAACUGGUAGGCUCCCAAGCCCAGUAGCAUGGUUGUCUUCUCCACCAAGUGCAGUAAUCUACUUUCGCUUCGGUGGGACAACAAUUUCAUCGCUAUCAAACCAAUUCUAAAAGUUGACCUCGGAUCGGGUAGGGUUACCCGCUGAACUUAAGCAUAUCAAUAAGCGGAGGCU